ACCCCAGCCACGGAAACAGAACCAGGAUCUCAUCCGCAUCCUUCCGAAUAUCCUACGAACGGAAUUCCAGCUCCCAGCACCUCAUGCGUCCUCUCCACGAUUCAUUCUUAUCCCCUCUCAACCGUGAAUAUCAUUCAAGCACCCAGUUCCAGCAUCCACGGAUGAGCUCAAAUCCCCUGUUACGUGUAGCAUCUCGUCUUCAUCGCCAACCAAACUCAGGAUCCAUUCAAUCAUGCAUCCCCGCUAUCCCCUGUUUCCAGCUCAUUUUAUCUUCAUCCGAAUCAUCCCAGCAUCCUCAAAACAGAAUCCGUUUUCAGCCGUGAGCUUCAUCCAAACUCCCCUUGAUUCAUCCCAGCAAAAUCCCUUCAACGGAUCAGAACUGCAACAGUCCGCGGAUCAAGCUCCCCAACCAUCUGCCUCUUCGCUCGAAUCAAAUCUUCUACGCGUCGCCCGCUGCCGUGAAACAGAAGCCGUUCCUCCAUCCUCAUCCUUUCACUCGGGAAGUUUAUCCUCCGGAUGCUAACAGAAGAUAGAGAAGGCUAUAAAAGGGAGUCGAUGAUGAAGGCUAGAGGCAUUCUCUUCCAUUCCUCAUUCCCCACCGGGAGGGGUUCCACAUAUCUCAUCACAGGCAAAAUCCCCCAGGAGACAGAGAAGGGAGGAGAGAAUCAGAGACGGGAGAAAGAAAAGAAGAAAUGGAAGCUCUCGUCGCUGCCACUGUUCAACUCUUCAUGGAGGGCUAAUCUCUUCUCUAGGGCUGGAUGCAGCCCUAACAAAAGGGAUAAGGAUUUUAUAUUUUUAAUUUUAUAUUCUUGGGGUUGUAUGAACCUAUUGUUUUUGAUGAAUACCUUCUUUUAUUUCAUGUUUAAUUUCUGUGAUUUUAAAUAUGAAGUUUAUACAACUGCUCUUCAUGAUCAUUGAAGUAAAAAUAAGAUAGUUCAUGCUUAAGGAAGAUGCGAUGUGCUGCCAUCUUAGUUAGGGUAGACAUUUCAUGCUAACUAAAGAUGGACUGUGCCUAAAUUACUUUGGUGAAUUUUUAUCUGAAUGCUUAUUAGGCUUGUAGUCAAUUUGCAUUUUAAUUCAAGAAUGAAUUAAAAAUACAAUUAAUCCUUGUUCCGAUGUUAGUGGUGAAUUCCUUGCCCUAGGUUCUCCCAAACUGAUAUUCUUUUAAUUGCAUUUUCUUUUAUUAAAUUGCUUAGUUUAAUAGUCUUCACCAACUCUUCCUUUUUAAAUAUUUUAUUUUUUUAAAAGAAAAACAACUAUACCCCAAUCCCUGUGGAUCGAUAUCCGUAAUCACUAUCCUACCAGAUACGUGCUAUUGCGUGGUCUUUAAAGUUGACUAUCACCAGCCAUCCAUGAAGCUUCCAAUUCAGCCAUCCUCUUCUGUUUCUAGUCAUCAAGGAGCCCGUGAAGCCAGCCAUCCUCUUCUUCUACCUUCCGCGCAUCCCUCACGCGAUCAGUGCCCGUCCGCUUUUUUCUCCAUUUCAAAAAUCCUCCCAGCAAAGAUCCCGCAGCCAGCCGAGAUGGUUAUUGCGCAUCAUCAGCACCCCGCAACUAUAAGAGGUGGGGGGUGCUCAGUUGGUCGAGAGGGGGGGGGGAGCUCACAUCCGAAAGAAAACAGAGCAUGCACUGUUUUGAGGAAGAAAAGAAGAAAAAAAAGAGAAAAAAAGUGCUCCCUAGGGCAAAGAAAGAGAGUUUCUUGUUUUCUUGUUUUUCAUUUAUUUACAGAAGAAAAGAAGCAUUAGGCUUCCAAUCUUCCUUUUUACUUUUUGUAAUCAUUUCUUUUUAUGAAAUCAAUCAAUUUUCUCUCAUGCAAUCUAUGUUCCCGGCUUCAAUCUUCUUAAGCACUGUUUUCAUCCAUACCAAAGUUUUCCAUUGAAUAGUUAAAUAUUUCAUUAAAUUUAUAAAUGCUCUUCGAUUCCAAGUAUCUGUUUUUUCGUUAUUUUCCAAUAGAAAACAUUAUUUGGUAGACUAGAGAAUCAUUCAACAUCCCUGAAGUAAUUUUUUUUUCUUAUUAUUCAAAAAUCGGCUUUGAAUUCGAGUGAACGUUUUGAUUUUUAUGCAACUACAAUCGCCUCCCUAUGGAUCGACCUCUUACGACCACUAUUCUUCGAGUAGAAAAGUUAAGAGUAUAAUUAAUUUAAAACUUUAUUGUCGGUUCUAACAACGAUCUGUUUAGUGCAUUUUCAGGUAAAUAGGAAAUUGACAACAAAUAUGAUAUUAUCUACCAACCCGGGAAGGAGAACAAAGUGGCGGAUGCACUUUCAAAAAAAGAAGAAAGUCUUAUACUUAUGGCGACUGAAGAAGAAGAGCUAACUUCCAUGGCUCUUAAUGGUGUGAAAUGGCAAGUUCGGGACGAAAUCAAGGAGGCCAACAAACUUGAUUCUAGAGCAAGGAAGAUUAUGGAGAAGAUAGAAGCUUCAUCCGAAGGUGUGGCCAACUACAAGCUUAAAGAAGGGUUGAUCUUGUUCAAGGAUUACGUUUAUGUGCCCAAUGUUCCCAACUUGAGAAGAAAUAUCCUUGAUCAUUUUCAUAAUAGCAAAGAAGGAGGACACUCGGGAUGGUUUCGAACCUACAUCCGGAUGAAGCAUUUUUUCUAUUGGGAAGGACUUAAAGCCAAAGUGAAGACAUUGGUAGCCGAAUGUGAAGUUUGCCAAUAGAACAAAUAUGAUCCAAGGGCACCAAUAGAUCUCAUACAACCUCUUCCCAUCCCAAGCAUGAUUUGGGAAGACAUUUCUAUGGACUUCGUGGAGGAAUUGCCAACUAGCAAAGGAUUCGAAGUCAUUUUUGUGGUGGUAGACCGGCUUAGUAAGUAUGCUCACUUCAUUCUUAUUAAGCAUCCUUACACGGCCAAAUCGGUUGCUAUUACAUUUAUGGAGUCCGUGGUCAAGUUGCAUAGAAUUCCAAAGAGUAUAGUCUCCGACCGUGAUAGAAUCUUUAUGAGCAUAUUUUGGAAGGAGUUAUUCACACUUCAAGAGACCACAUUGAAGGCAAGCUCAUCUUAUCACCCACAAACGAAUGGGCAAACGGAGGUGGUGAACCGAACUCUUGAGCAAUAUUUGGGAUGUUUUUGCCACAACCAACAAGCCAAGUGGGGGAAGUUUCUUGUAUGGGCCGAGUAUCGGUACAACACCACUUAUCAAGCUUCAAUCAAGAUAAGCCCUUUUGAGUUGGUUUAUGGUAGACCCCCUCCAGGUUUACAUCGACAUGAGAAGGAGACCGCAAGAAAUGAAGAAGUGGAGCAAGCAUUGGCCGAAAGACAUGAAGCCUUAACCAAUGCAAGGAGGGAGCUCAAGAAGGCCCAAGAAAGGAUGAGAAGAUACUAUGACAAGAGCUGAAGAGAGGUAACUUUCAAUCCGAGAGAAUUGGUAUAUUUAAAGUUGCAACCAUACACUCAAAAAUCCUUUAAAAAGAAUUACAACUACAAGCUCUUUCAAUGGUAUUAUGGGCCUUUUAAAGUACUAGAGAGGAUUGGAGAAGUUGCAUAUCGGUUAGACCUACCCACCUCAACUCUACUACGCUUGGUCUUUCAUGUAUCAUUGCUUAAGAAAGUGGUGGGUGAUCCUUCAUUGAUCAAACAAGACUUAUCCACCAUUAAUGAAGAAAGAAGACUAUUGCUACAACCCAAGGAGGCUAUCAAGUACCACAUAUGGAGGAAAGGGAGAGAAACAAGAAAAGAAUGGCAAGUGUUGAUCCAAUGGGAUGGAAUGCCAAGAGAAGAAGCCACUUGGAAAGACUAUGAUGAAAUGAUCCGGCGGUAUCCACACUUUAUCCUUGAGAACAAGGAUAUUCUUCAAGAGAGGGGGAAUGUUGAGGACCCCCGUAAGCGCCGCCAACCAAGGAGGACAUCGGGCCAUGAGGAGGCCAAUGGAGGGUCAAGCCAAGGCCAACUAUGUUGCUUGGAAAGCCUUGGCCAAGCCCCUUUAUUCGGCCAAGCACAUCCAUGGUCGGUCGAGACCAUGCCCGUGUCGCGCACAUUGUGCCCAUGCAUGCCAAGCCUCGGCCAAGCAUGCCCAACCUCAGCUGAGCCCACCACGUUCCCACAUGUGCCCAAACCUCGGCCGAGCAUGCCUAACCUUGGCCAAGAAUGCCGCACGCGCAGCCCCGCUAAAGCCUUGUCACACCCAAGUCCUGCCGCGGUCAACUUCACUAGCUACAGCGCUGCAGGCGAGGUUCGGGCCGCAGAACCUUGCCUGCUACAGUGCUAUGGGGGAGGUUCGGGCUGCAGAACCUCGCCCGCUACAGUGCCAGGUGCACACAGUGCCCGCAUGCAUGCCUGCUCGCUACAGUGCUGGGUGCACACAGUGCCUGUGCGCGCCGCCUACGCAUGCGCGGCGCGCGCCAGGCCCUUGCAGUUGCCCAACCACCGCCUGCCGCACGUGCCAGCCUGCCAGCCACCCUAGCUGCGCACCUUAGGCCUGCCACAUCGCCCCAGCACCCUGCUUGGCCCUCUGCCGGCCAGACCCUGCUGCCAGCUGUGCCCAAGAUCCUACCACAGCCUCCAGCAGGACAGCCAAAGACUUGCCCAGCCACCAGUAGCCUUGGGACAACCAUGGCCAACCUAGGCCAAGCCUUGGCCGGCCUAAGGUAAGGCUUGGCCGGCCUAUGCCACACCUUGGCCAGCCUAGGCCUCACCAUUAGCCACCCUCCCAUUAAUUGUUUGUCCCCAUGAAGAAGUCCAUAAAUAUGCAUUGAGAAAGCUUGUGAGGGCAUCUUUUGUCUUAGCAAGAGUUCUUGUAUUCGGCCUAAGGGCUUGGGAGAGACUUAGUCUCUUGCAUUCGAUCUUGGGGUUUAUCCAAGACUUGGGCCAGUGAGGACCAAUCAUAGUUCUACUAGAGUAUUUGUAAUCUUGUUUUUGGGAAUUGAAUCAACAAUCAAGCAUUCCUCUACAUAUUUUGAGUUUCUUACUUGUGUUCUUAGUUGUUUUCUUUCAAGCCAAGGGUCGGGCCAAGUUGCAACCAGUAGACCUGCUCCUUGUCUUGAUUUUCACAAAUACUUAGAGUGUCCGAACCCCUUUCGGCGUUACCUGCAUCGGCUCGAAUCAACCAUCUUCCAGGUGCGCACAAGGAGCGUGGGACAUAGAGUGGUAUGGAGGCUUUCGGGCCGAAAGCUGCCCUCCAUCAUGCGCACAUAGCCAUCCCUGCGGCCUGCUCUUCUUGGCCAAGUGCCCGUUGGGUUGAUGGGGCGAGAUCUGGCGCGCGGGCUGAUCCCACAUGAUGCCGAUAUCGUGGAUGAUUCUCUUGGUCAGCCUAAGGUCGGCCGGCCACAAGAUACAUCAAUUGGCCGCUUUGUCCCCCACUUGGCGCACGAUCGGUGCUCGGCUUGCGGUGCAGCUUGCUGGGGUCCUCAAUAAGGUUGCUUCCUCACCCCUGUGUCGACUCCUUUUUUUUGACUCUUAUGGAUGUACUUGUUGCUAGAAAUUGGACCUGGAGGUGACCGCGGACCGAGGAGGAGGAGCUCCGGCUGGUGAUGCGGUGGCGGAUGACUGUCUCCGGUGGACCUGCAAGAAGCCUGUGGCCGGGGGUUCCGGCGUAGGCCCUCCGAUGCUUAAGUCAAAGAGGGGUUUUCAAUGGAGAGGAGUAAUGGAGAGAAGUAAAGUAUGGAUGUAUUUUUUGGCCGGGGGGAAGAAGAGAGCCCCUUGCCUAGAGCUCUCCUCCCUUUUUAUAGGAGGGGGUGGAGCGGUUACCUGUGAUCGGGUGUGAUUGUGCGAAUCAAUGAAUUACCAUAAACGACCCGAGAUUUCGGGCUAGCUGGCGAUCCGUUGAGAUCAUGUGUAUUCAAAUGUUGACAGUCGUUGAGGCGAAGAUCGCAGGAUUUGAUCCCCGAUAUGAAGGACUUGAUUUUCGGUGUAGUGGGGAGAUCUACUUCUCUCUUUGACUAGGUCUUUCUUGGCCUUGAGGUCGAUCGGGCUUAACCCUGCUGAGACCAUGCCUGCUAAGGUCAUGCUGAGCUCGAGGUUGUGAGCUCUGUGGUUGUCGAUGCCGAGACUGAGCGCUCUGAGGUUGGGCGCUUUGAGGUCGUGACUGCUGAGAGUAUGCUUGCUGUCGUCACGUUCCAUUUUUCCCCCAACUGUACUCAUGCGCAUAUAGUGUGUAUUGCCAUUGUGUGUGUGUCUAUAUAUAUAUAUAUAUAUAUAUAUAUAANNNNNNNNNNUGUGUGUGUGUUAUAUAUAUAUAUAUAUAUAUAUAUAUAAAGUACAAGCUAUACAAAAGUAUGUGUACAAACCCUGUGGGGGCGUUUGGUAUGGGGUGAUCGUUCUAGGAUCAAAAGUGAUGUGGGUGGAGGUGAUGAGAUCACCGUGUUUGGUUGCACCAUGGUGAUCCUACGUGGUAGUGAUCUUAAAUCACCUCCACUCCUCAAAUCACCCCCCAACUCGGUGAUGGGAUACCCGUCCUUGAGGUCGGGAAUCCAAGAUCACCCCAGGGCAGUGAUCCUGGGUUGAAAGUUAAAAACAAAAAUACCCCUCAAGUUAGCAAAAAAUUGAUACAUCAAUAUACCAUCAAUAUAUUAUGUCAAUAUAUAUAUAUAUAUAUAUUAUAUUGAUAUUAUAUAUUUUAUUAAUGAUAUAUAUUAUAUUAUAAUAUAUUACGAAUCAUAUUAUUAUCCCAUUAUUAUUGAAGGUUAAUUUUAAAAUUCUAGUAGAAAUAUAUUAUUAUUUUUUAUAUUUAUGUAAUGAAAAUAUUUAAUAUAUUAAUAUAUUACUUCUAUUUACAUUACUUUUCUAAUCAAAAUAAUUAUUAGUAUUAAAAAAAUCUAUUAUAAGUAUAAAUAAAAAUAUUAAUUCUAUAAAAAAUAACAUAUUUUUAUAAGAUUAAUAAUUUAUAGGAGUAAUAAAUAUAUUUUAUAGGAUAUAUUAAUAAUUAAUAUAUUGAUAAAUAUAUUAAUAUUUUAUUAUAAUAUAUUUUAUAUGAUUAAUAAAUAUAUGAUAAGGGCUACUAAGGAGUUAUUAUAGAAAUUAGUAUAUUGACUUACAUUUUUAAUUCAUAAAAAUUAAAAAUACAUAAAAAAAUCUAUCAAAGAUAUAUCAAGAAUAUUUAUGGUAUUAUGUGGCCAGUAAUUUUAGAUCCCUAUACCAUACCAAACAAUUUACUCAUAAAUAUUUGAAGAUUUUUAACCACUGAAUCAUGGCCUACUAAACAUAUUGAUCUUACAUCCCUCACGCUCAAAUGCAUGCUAAAAAUACCCUCGUCCAACCGUAUAUAAUUAUAAACCGACUUCAAAAUCCAAAGAGGGCUUCCACUGUUCUCUCUCUCCAUUUCACCUCCCAUUCCCCUCGCAAAAGCAACCCGAGCCCCUCUCGCUUUGGCGCUCGAGCUCCUCGGCGACAGCGUGGAGCGCAGGACGACGCGUUCGGCCCGCACGCCUACGGUAUUUCUUCCCCACUUCUCGCUCGAUCCAUUCUUCGAUUUGUUUAGAACUCUUGCUGGAUCCGAUUCUUGGCUCUUUUCUGCUCUUUUUUCGAAGUCUAGGCAUCGAAAUCCUUUCUAUUGCGUUGUUUUUGAUUGCUUCUGUCUUUGGUGGAGUGAUCUUGAAGGUGAUCUUUGGAUGUCGGCGGUUGUUUUCUUUUUCAUUUGGGUUUUCGCGUUGGUUCAUGUGUUCUUGGUCGGUUUCUUGAUGUUCCUGGGGUCUUUGGAAGAUUAGGGUUUGGAUUUUAGUGCUUUAUGGUAUUGUUUUUGGUUCUACGGGAGUUUGUAUGCUGUAACCUGUAGUCCAUUUAUAGCUUUUGGUCGACCCUUUUUUACCCAUGGAUUCGGUGAUUUCUGGACCCAGUUUGUAGGUCUUAGUUUUUCUGGUUUUAUUUGCUGAUUUUAUAGCUUAACAGUUUCUUUGUUGGUUGAUUGAUGCUUUUCCGAAGGGCUUAUUUUAUUGUGGAUUUAGUUUUCUUAGGAAACGAAUGAAUUUUAGCUUUAUGGCUGAAUCAUUUAUUAGUUGUUUCUCCUUUUCUUUUCUCAAUUUAAUUGAUUGGCUUCUUUAACUAUGAAAAAUAUCGUCUCUUUUUUUUAUUGCUCGAAAUUUUUAGUUGUUAUUUUCAUCUUUUUGUCAUCUUUUUUAGAUUACUUCUUGGAGAAUUCGAGCAACUUAAAGAGCAUAACAAUGUCUGUUUCCAUCAUUGCAGCUAUGGCAGCAAAUACUGCUGCCAAUAAUAAUGCAUCUUUGACUGUGGACUCCAACUCAAGGCCAAAUGCCAGGAGAAGAACAGUGGUAGUUGUGGAGAAGAAAUCAAGUGCUGAUAUGCUUACUGAAGGAGGAGUUAAUGGGGUUAGCAAGGAUAAGAUGAUUGUUAAUGGGAAGGAUCUAAGCCAUACAAUCAGGGGAGAAUCUCUGCUUGACAGAUCAAAAGACUUGUCGCAGUUGAAGAAAGAAUUGAUUGCUUCCUCCACCAUUUCACCACGGCGUAAGAAAGCUAUUCUGAAGCCACAGAAGCUGAAGUGGCAAACUGUUCUUAGCAUUCUCACCAAGAAUUUCAUGCUUCUAGCAGUUCUUUUAUGGCUGGGGCAGACAGUUUGGAGAUGGACUGAUAGUAUUCGAGACAAUACUAACUCACCAUUUUCUGCUUUGGAUUAUGAUGGUCGGAUCUCUGAAGUUCAGGCAUCUUUAAAGAAAACAGCAAAGAUGUUGCAGGUUCAGGUAGAAGCUGUAGAUCAAAAAAUCAGAAAUGAGAUUGGGAUUGUGACUAGUGAACUUAGAAAGCAAAUUGAAGAACAAGGGGCACUGUUGGAGGAGGAAUUGAAGAAGUUGGAAGUUAGGAGUGAUAGUUUAGACAAGUCUCUGACUGAAUUUAAGGACACGGGUCUCCUUUCAAAGGAAGAAUUUAGAAGAUUUUGGAAUGAGCUGAAGAGCACUAAAAGGCUAGAUGGUAGUGAUCAUGAUGUUAAUUUGGACCAAGUUAGGGCUUUUGCUAGAGAUCUUGUUAAGAAAGAGAUUGAAAAGCAUGCAGCUGAUGGUCUUGGAAGAGUUGAUUAUGCUUUAGCUUCUGGUGGGGCCAGGGUGGUCAAGCAUUCAGAGCCUUAUGGUUUUAGGAAAGUGAACAGUUGGUUUUCUGUUCGAAAUGGAGUCCCUGCUAAUGCUCAUAAAAUGUUGGAGCCGAGUUUUGGGGAGCCUGGCCAAUGUUUUCCCUUGCAAGGAAGCAGUGGGUUUGUUGAGAUUAGGCUUAGAACAGGGAUCAUACCUGAGGCUGUCACGCUGGAGCAUGUCUCUAAGGCAAGUUUUUGCUCCAGUUGUUUUUCUGCUUUUCCUUUACAGCUGUGUAGUUAUUUUGAGGUAUUUUGGUACUUAAGCAUUACUGGUUUCUUUCAUGUUAGUUCAUAUAACACCCAUUUUAACUCUUUCUUAUAUGUUAAUCAUAUAACUAUUCAUAUGGUCUGUUUCUUGAAGUAUUUGGGACUUGCAUUUUUAGUUGCUUUCUUUUAACUAUAUCUUGUAUACAGUUUCCAUUUUAACUAUUUCUUGUAUGUUAGUCAUAUAACUAUUUCUUUUCUAAGCAUGUCUUGCAUGUGACUUUAUUGAUGUAAAGAGGUGAAUUUUUGAGGUAGGAAAUUUGGAAUUUGAAAACAAUAAUGUGACUUUAUUAGGAGAUAUUAGGAGAUGUAAAGAGGUGAAUUUUUGAGGUAGGAAAUUUGGAAUUUGAAAACAAUAAUAUUAUGGCAUGGGUAAAGUUGGAAAUAUUGUAUCAAAUGGUCACUUGUGUUUUGGUCAUGGUUUGAAGUUUUGGUCAAAGCUUCUAAAUUGCUAUAAAAAAUAUUGGUUUUGGAUGUGCAACACUAUUGUUGGUUUUAGAGUUCCAGUUGAAACUAACUCUUUUUUUUCCCCUAAGAGUGGGGUGCAAAUCUGUUGUUGAUGGGAGAUUUGUAGGGAAGUUUUGCCAUUUCUUCAAAUUUGGGAGGGUAUUAUUUUCCAAAAGUAAAUGAACUCUGCCAGUUUUUAAAAUAAUUGGAAGGCGUAUGUUGGAAAGGUACAAAUUUAUCGAUAAAGUUUGUUUUUCUUGAUCUUAAAUCUUGGAAUUUAGAUUGUCAAAUGGUAGAUGGUCAUCCAGUACUCAAUGAUAUAGCAGAACCCCAAUGUGUAACAUACUUUUUAUCUUCAAUGUUUAAGAACCAGCUACAGCCCUUUUUUUUUUUGGUGUCUUUUUGUUCCAUAAUAAAUUGCGUUCUCAAUAUGGAGAUGUUCUUGCUCAAUCUUAAGGGACUUAUGUGAGUAAAAAUCUUAAUUGGUUAGUAUUAGUUUAGAACUUGUGUUGGUUAAGAUUUAUGUUUUUAUGAGCUUUUUAGUUAUUGUUCUAUUAUUUUCUCUAAAUUUAAAUUGCUUUCGGUAUUGUAACUGCAUUUUUUUGGGUAUCAUAAUUGUUGGGUCAAGUACUGGUGGCAUAAAUUCUCCUCCAAGACCUCCCCCCCCCCCCCCCCAAACAACAAAAAAAAAAGGAAAAAAAAAGGGUACCAUAUGCAUGUCUAUCCAUGUGUCCUUCGAGACAUGGCUAUUAAGCAUUAAAAUUUGCAAGCCAUGAUCUUGUCAACUGUAAAGUUUUAUAAUGGAAUAGAGGUUUGGAGAUAUGUUACUAGAGUAGAUGGAUCUGUCAGGCUUGUCAUGAGUAUGGAUGUGAGGAACACAAACAGGUUUUUUAGAGAAAAGUGCCGUGAUGAGUAUUUUCUACAUGCAUUUCUUAAUUUAGUAUGGUUCUCCAUUGUUAUUGCUAGCUCGAGAACUACAUAGGUUGUUAGGGAGGGUGAGUUAUGGAGCCAUCUUUUUGAGGAACUGAGUUGGCAGGGAAAAUAUAUGGUGGGUCUUUUUCUCUUCUUUGGCCUGGGCAGUCAGAAGGAGGACUGGAAAGAGUGGAGCUUGUUAUGUUGUUCAAGGAAAGAACAUCAUUGGUGGAAAGGUUGAUGUAGAAUUGGGCAAAAUGAUGAGAAAUAAUUGAAUCCACGACUCUGGGCAGAUCCGUUGCCCCAGAAGCUAUUUUACUAAUAAAUGAAAGAGAAAGUAUUUGAAGUUUCUUCUCAGACAGCCAAAUUUUGAGGUAGAAGAAUGUAAUACCCCUUGAAGGAAUUGGACUUUUUAUGAUCCAAAACAUCACAACUCAAAUUAAUUAGUUUUGCAGUACGAUCCAGUAAGUGGGUCCUGAAGAACUCUCUUUUAAUUGAAUUAAAGGUUUCUUAAAUUUGGUAAUGAAUCAGGUUGAAAGCAUCUUAUACAUGAGUGAUAUGGCUGUGUUUGGCGUUGCUUCUGGAAGCACUUCCUUAAUUUUUUUUUUAUUGAGUUGCACCUUUUCAUAUAUUUGGCAUUUGGUGACCACAUAAUGCAGCAGCAUUGUAUUUUUGCAGUCACGUGUAAGUGUAAUCACAAAUGGCUUUGAUCAAAUCUGCAGCUACCUAACCUUGAACAACCUAUGUUGGAUUUGGGUUCAAUAUUUGGGCUCAAAACCAAGUUAUUUACUUAUUUUGACCAAUGUUUUUGGGUAAUAUUGAGUCAAAUCUAGUUUUUGGAGAGCUUCCAAUCCAUUUUACUAGGCUUAACUGCAAGUUGACUAAAGAUUAAGGUUCAGGCCUUUCAUCCAACCCAGGGAUCUAGAUAUUGGGUUAAUUGCCUUUAAUUUGGUUGACAUUAUUGAAUUUAGGUCUACCCAACAAAAAUGCCUUUGAUUGAAAUGAAGAAAGAAUGAGUAUUUAACCUUUCAUUGGGUGGAAUCAUCACCAAACAAACAUGAAACAUAUUAUCAUAAGCAUAUGCUUGAACUUGGUUUCCCUAGCUUCUCCUAAAAGCCACUUUGUAUUUUGUGCUUUUUUAGAAAGGGAUUUUUUAAUGCAAUGCUAAACAUGUUUGUAGAAUAUAUGUAUUAUUGGAAGUUUGAAAUUGUUCUUUCGAAAAUCUUAAGGUAAAAGAUUUAGUAAUCAAAUUUUAGUUUGACAUGGAGAAAAUAUGCUCAUAUAAUAGAUUGUAGUGGUGGAAUUAAAAGCAGCUUUCUCCAAUAAGGAUUGUUUUUGUUGUUCACAUGCGCCAUCGCCGGUCGAUCUCAUAUAUGCAUGCUUUGUGUUCAUGUUCUGCACCCUGUAUUUUAUACCAUACAACACUUGCUUUUAUUGCAUUGAAUUGCUUUUCUAUGGGUGCCCAUCCUUAAGUGGUAUUGUAGCAGUUAGGUUCUUUUCCCUCUUUCUCUAGCAAUGCAGCUUGUGGAAUGUAAGUUUGAGAAAACAUGACAAACAAAAUAUGAAUACAAAUAAUUGAAUAUUGUUAAAUAGAAUCAAUAUAAAAAAUAAUGAAUAGAUAUUGUUAAGUGAACUAUAAGGAAGAAACACAAGACAUAUAAUAUUGUAGUAAAUCAACUAAAAAUAAAAAUGUUUUAAGUAGGACAUAUUUUAAAAAUAUAUAUAUAAAAACAUUAAAACAUGAAACCAAAAAGUGAAAGAAAUUGAAAAAUAUAAAAAUAUAUUAUAAAAAAUGAAAUAAAAAAAUAAAACCAAAAAUUCCAAGUAGAAAACUAAAGAAAAGAACAAACAACAAAUAAAGAGAUAACGAACUCUUGGUGGGGAUUUGGAUUGAACUGGUAAUCUUUUUAGUUAGAGUGGGAAGAAGGGGAAAAAGGGUUGCAUUAGCGGGCGCUCUCGUGCACGCUCAUGCAUGAGAGAGAGAGAGAUGGGGGAAUCCGCCUGAAGUGGGCAGAUUGGAGUCUCCAAUGGCCAAUAGUUGAAAUUUAGAUUCUUAAAUUAUGGGGAGAACAAUUUUAUUGAAUUUUUAGUAAGUUGAAAAAGAGUUUAUUAAUUUAAAAUACUAAAAAUUCAACAAAAAAAUAAAAAGAAAUAAUACUAGUGUUUGCAAAAUAUGUUCUAAAAUAUGUAAAGUUUCUGUUAAAAAUAAUUGCUAGAAUAGGAUAUGCAGAAAAGGACUAAAAUAAAAAGGGAUAUGUUUUGGCCCAGAAAGCUAUAAUUAAUUAGUAUUAUAAGAAUAUGGAGUCAAUAUCAAAUUCCUUAAUUAAAUUAAUUAUUCGUUGAUUCAUGCUGUUUUCCUAUACUAAGAGGGGAACCUAACUUUGAGUUUCACAGUCUUGCAUGUGGAGUCUUGGGUAUUGUAUAAAAAAAAAUAUUGAUGUAUGAAAUAUUCCUAGAACAUUUCUAAUGUUCAAGACCAUCUCUUUUUUAGAUAGUAUGGAUAACUACAUGCUUUUUGCACAUCUUUUUUACCUUUUCCUAGUUGUAAAUUGUGUUGCUUAACCUCCUUGUCUGUUAAGCUAUAUUUUCCUUUGGGCCCUGUCUUUACUUGCUUAAUGUGAACUGUAGUACUUUCUAAGUCUAGAAGAUUCUAAAUUGCCCCUUGAGUCCAUGAGCUAAAAUGAUGACCUGUUAGGUUGGUUGCUAAUUGCCGAUUGACCUUUUAGAUUUCAUGGGAGGCCCCUCUGUUGUCUUUUGCUGUUUUGGAUAGGAAUUCAGCAUUAAUUCUUAGUCACUUCAUGUUUGUUGGUCAUAAAAAUCUGCUCACUCCUUCCAUUUGGUCUCUUGAUGUUUUCCCUCAUCCCCAGAUAGGAAAAAGUUUGGAGGAUGAGUUAAUGAUCAGCUUAUGUGGUUAAUUAUCAUUACAGCAUAUGUGCAUCAGAUGCACAGUUUUCCUUGAAUGCUUUUGUAGAGAGCAGCUUUGAUGCUCAUAUUUGGUCUUCAAUUUCAGUUAAUUAAACAUAGUAUUCUUUAUAGGGACCUCCCUUCCAUGGACUAGAGGCUACUAUGUCUUUGACUGGUUCGAAAUGGUGAAUAUUAGUUCCCAUUAAGCUGGAAUUAAAUGACAUUAUAGAAAUUCGAGAGUAAAUUUAAAACAUUCUCAAUUUUCUUAUGCAAUGUAAUAGGGUUCUCCCACCUUCAGCUGCCUCUUUAGCCAAGCCCAUACUCAAUUUGAAAUCUGAAUUUGCAAGUCCUUGCAGUUUAGCUUUAGGGCUCUUUUAUAUACGUGUAAUGCAUGUUUGAAUGGGUGUCAUUCAUGUUGUUCCCACGUUGUCUUCAAUUUUUUUUUGGUAAAUUCAUCAUAUCAAUGGAUUAACCAUGUUCAGAUUGAUAUUUCCCACUUAUUGAUGUUCUCCAUGUUUGUGCUUGUUGCCUUGAUCAUUUCCUUAAUCAUGCUUGCAUUUGUGUGUGCUGAUUGUCAGAUUCGAUCGUCUUUCUUAUAUGUGAAUAGAAUGGUGAUAUUCACUUCCUGGGCCUGAGUCAAGAGCAGAUGCAAAAAAAUUUGAUCAUGUAGGAAGCUCUAUGUAGGUAAUACCAAUAUUAUAGAAAAACAUAUUCCGACCUUGAUUUUCACUUUUUGAAGAUCAUGUGAUAUACCACUUAAAGAAAAUGACAGAAAAAAUUAACAUUUUUGUUUUGUUAUUAAACUAAAGGUGUAGGAUUAAGAUUGUGGAACAGGUACUUGAAGUAAAGGAUUCUAACUAUUACUCUUAUUGCUUGGUUUCAUAGAAGUGGACUUGGUAGUUAUUUAAGUCAUGUAAGUGGUUUAUUUUGAGUGUUUGAGUGUACGGAAAUCAACUAAUUGGUGUUAUUUGUUUAAUCAGUUUAAGUUCCUGAGGUGCAUCCUUGUUGUUGAAAAUGAUUGUGUUCGAACUUUGUUGCUAUGUUAGAUCUGACUAGUACAGGGUUUGGGUAGGAAAAAUAACUUGGACCCUGUCUGGUUUUUCAAACAGGUUUUAUUUUAUGUCAAUAGUGUUACCUGUUCACUCCAAAUAUUCAGUUUUUGACAUGUUGUCUGCUUGGAUACUUGGGGCACUCCUUGACACUCUCCUUGACACCAGAUACAAUCAAAUCAUGAUGGCAUUAUCAUUACAUCUGUACUUCUACAUUUCUCUAUGAAAGUUAACUUGUCUAACAUCACAAUCAGCCAUCAGUUUAUUAAAUUUUAUGAACUUAAGGAGCAUGAGCCUAGCUCAUUGUUCAUCAUAUAAGCACAUCAAUACAUAUUUUAUAAAUAUAAGAUGUAGAUGCGUCUGUGUGACUAAAGUUUAGAAGAUUUGCAUGUUGGAUUUUUUUUUUUCGUGGGACACUUGGACAUUUGACUCCUAUCACGCGUCAAAGUAAUAUUGGACCCUGAUCCAACACAUGGAUUUAAAAGAUUGCUGGGUUGGACCGGGCCUGAUUGGGUUAGGCAUAUUUUGCUUGCUGGUCUACCUGACAGUUUGCAGGCCUACUCACAUUUUAUGUAUACUGCUUUGUACUGCAUAUGGUAAUGUGUAUAGGUUAGAUGUGCAUCCAUGAUCAUGAAAUGGACAUAGAUUGUAAUUAUAGCACUUGAUCUUACAACAUUCUUCAUUUUCUAGGUAAAUAAAAUAUUCUUUAUUAGAAAACAUCUUUUUAAGGAGGUAUUGGCUUGAGAGAGGUUCCAGAUUUAAAUGGUAUUGAUAUCUGUGGGAUUCUUUUAAUGGCAUCUGAUGGAAUCUUGCUGUACAAAAACCAAAUCUUAAUAAAUUUAAUCACCCUGUGCGCUCUUUUGGUGCUUUUAACUUGUCAUACUUAUAAAAGAUAUAUUUCAGAAUAGGUUGACUAAUUUUAGUCUCAUAGGAAGUUUACUUUUUAGUUCCUGUAUCAGUUCUUAUUUUUUAGUGGAACAUCUUCAACUGCCCCCUCCCAUCCUCUCUUUUUUUUAUUCAUCCCCCUCAGAUGGAAUCUUAAGACACACUAUUGUUCCCUUCAGUUUCUUCAGUUAUGUCGCAUCUGAUCUAUUGCCCUUUAUUUCUUACAACGAAAAUGGUAGGGGAACCUCAAAGUUCACAUCUCACCAUUGAUCAUGAUGAUUUUGUAAUUUGUAUGCGCUCUCAUAUGUUGAUGAGCAUGAAUUGCAGUAUUCAACCAUAGAAUUAAACAGUAGAUCUUUUUGGUUGAUUCAGUUAACCUGUACAUCAUGCUAUAAUUGUCAAAUUCACAUUAUUAUUCAUUUAUGUUCUAAUUAUAUUUCUGAACAUUACCUUUUAUUUGACAACUAGUCCAAGGAUAGUAAGAGGCUUCUCUGAUUUAGCUUAUUAUAUCAUUAUCAGAGUUAUAUCCUGAAAUAUAUGUGUAUAUAUAUAUAUACACACACACAUAUAUAUGUAUAAAAAUGUAUGUAUAUGUAUGUAUAUAUGUGUGUGUGUAUAUAUAUAUGCGUAUAUAUACAUGUAUAUAUAAAUAUAUAUUUAGCUUAUUAUAUUACUAUCAGAGUUAUAUCAUGGAAUAUAUGUGUGUGUGUGUAUGUAUAUAUAUGCGUAUAUAUACGUGUAUAUAUACAUAUCUAUAUAUAUAUGUAUACACAUAUAUACAUAUAUAGAUAUACAUACACAUAUAUAUGCGUGUGUGUAUGUAUAUCUAUAUAUGUAAACAUACAUAUAAAGUGGUAUCAAAGCCACGUGGUGCUUUUUACGGAGGUAAGUAGUGGUAUCUAGUUCUGUGGCGAAGAGGAAGGCUAGGUGCUCUAAGGCAUGUGGAGCAGUAGUGAGUCUCGUGUUGUGCCCGUUUAAGUUGAGAGGGUGUGUUAAGGGCUUUUAGAGAUUGUGACUGAGCAUUGUCCAGAGUAUCAAGAAAGAAUCGGAACCAUGUCUACAUUCAUGAAGUCCCUCACAAAGAGGCAUGUUAGGACUGACAACUAUAAGAAACCCGUAUUAUUAGGACCAUGCCUGUAAAAAACUUCCAGUCUAUAUGUUUUGAAGCAUUAAAAAAGUGUAUAGAAAACUGCAAAAUACCAAAAAUACCUGUAAAAGAAAUAUAUUAUCAGGGUAGCUUCCUGUCUAAAGCUAGCUAUUAUAUUAAGACUAUAGAGAGAACCCUAUCUAUAGACGCAACUCAAAAGACAAUCCAACUUCUGAGAUCAAAAGAUCUAAACGAGGUCCGAUCUCAGUCAAAAUACAACUACCUUCACAUAGGAUUGGUGCAGGUAGCAGUAAGACACCUCUAACCAGAAAAGGUCUUAAUACAGCCAUCCUUCGAUGCCUAAGAGAUUGUAAAAAUCUAAAGUUUUCUGACUCUCUCCUAGGUCUUAUAGAAGCCAACCUAAUCGAAGGACCGGUCUUCUUUAAUACCUUCCCUGACUUCUCAUUAUCUGUAGGUCACAACCAUGAUGACUAUUAGCCCUGGUUCUAGGAGAGCCACUCCUAAGGGGCUAACAACACUAUUCAUGGCUAAUCCUAAAAAUAAUUACAUCAUGCCAAAGUGGCUUAAGUGGGAAAAAAUCACUCUUUUUGAGAAAUGGACGUUAACCCAAGCGGUAGACCCAAAGAAGGCUUAGAAAACUGAGGCCAAAAAAAUAAUUAAAAUGCCAGACAGUGACGUAGAAAUAUACUUCUCGUCCAGGAGAGUAGAGGUGAGAGUAUGGAAAGGGAGGGAGAGUGGCGGAUUGUGGAGUGAAGUGGAGAUCGGAGAGAUUGAGUGGAUAGGUGGAGAGUGGAUGUGAGUGGGAGAGAGUGGAAGAUAUUAGGGGAGAAUAUGAGUGGAAGGGUGAGUGGAAGUGGAAGAGGAAGAGAGAGUGGUUGAGUAGGAGAGAGGGAUCGAGGAGUGAGGGUGGAAGCUGCUGAUGCCCUGGCUAGUUGCCCAUAUCGACUUUUAUAAAUGAGGAGCUCUUGCAGACUUAAGCUUUGUUGGAGUUUGGGACUUAAUUCAUUCUAAAGUUCAGAGGGUACUUCAGUUUUUUACUGCAGACAUCGUGAUUUGGAGAAUUUUUUCUAUACAUAUUCUGACCUUGAUGGAAUCUCACUGUAGGCGUCACUUUAGUUUUUUUUACUAUGGACAUCAUGAUUUGGAGGGAAUUUUUACUGUAGGCAUCACUACAGUUUUUUACUGAAGUCGUCUUCUAUUCUUGGAUAGUUGUGUCGAUUUCAUCAUGCAAUCUACUAUUUUUUUAGCUAAUUCUUUUAAUCUCUUAGCCUUAGCUUAUAUUUAGAAAAAAAUUUCUUGUCGGAUAAAUCGACAAUUCUUCGUCUUCUUGCUUGAAAGGGUGAAUAGUAUGUCACCCUCAGUAGUGAAGAAGAUUAUCCUGAUAGGCUGUGUUCUUCAUUUGGUGCUAUGGCUGUUGCAGGGCUCUGGUAGUACAUGUCUCCAUAUAUUGCAUAAAAAGGUUGAGGGGAUUCCUUCAUCAUCUUGAGCAUAGUCUUGUAUAUCUCAAUUUGAUGAUCUUUCUUAGAUAGAUAAGGAUUAUGAGUCUUUAGAUCCUGACUUACUCGCAAUUCUAUUUGAUAUAGAUUGUGGAUUCUGAUGGGUUUUUCUCCAGCUUGUACCCCUGAAUAAUCAGUUGCUCGUUGAACUGUUUCCAUCUUUUAACAUAAGUCUUUCGGGUGAAGAAUGGUGGAAAUUAAUCAUUUUUUAUGUUGAAUUCCCAUCUGAGUAUCCAUGGUAAUCCAGUCUUAGCACAAAAUCUCAUGAGGUUGAAUUCAUUAACAGUAGAAUACAUUUUGGCUACUGCUUCCUUUAUUUUGUCUGAAAGCAUAUCUGGAGUAGCUCUGAACUUUAACCAUUAGUUUUGUAGAACCAAAUGGGUAGGAGAUUGAUAUGGAUCUAGAAUUUCAUGAACCACGAGUGUUUGAAUUCAAAAUUUUGAACGUAGAAGACAUUUAUCCAUGCAUCCUGAUAAUCCCUGUAAUUGAAGGGUUCGGUCCCAUGAUUGUUUUUUACCAUUGUUUUGGUGGAGUUUGGGUUAAGGAAAGGAUCCUAGCCUUUUAAAGAAUAGAUCUUCAUUAUAGAAAGUUUAGAAAAGGCAUAUUCACCAUGACCUUUAUAGGUAUCAUGAAUGUAAGCACUUUUGGUUUGAGAGAGAAGAGCUUCAUAAUAAGCUUGACUCUUGUUCCCUGCUUUAGGGAUGUAGAGCUUUCCUUCUGGCAAAUAUUUUAAGAGAUCUUUAAUAGUAGAGUUUAAGUCAUGUAAUUCCAAAGGGAAGAGUUUUUCUUCGGCUUUGGAAAUGUAUGGACAGGGGGAGUCCUUGAUAAGUGGUGUAGAUGGUGAUGAAGGGGUUUUUGGGCUUUGAGAUUGAGAUGGCUCAGGCGAGAGGUUUGCUUGGGUGGUGAUUUCUUUGGAGAGCUUCUCUCUUUUUGACUUCUCUCAAUCAAGAAAUAGUAGAGUUAGUUUUCAUGUGAGUAAAUUUAAAGGAGUAAUUUUAAAAUUUUGCUUGGAGGCUAACUUUUUGACAUUUCUCUGUCAAGAAAUAGUAGUUAGUUUCUGUGUGAGUAAAUUUAAAGGAGUAAUUUUAAAAUUUUGCUUGGAGGCUAAAAUAGGUUUACUAACCUCCCUUUUCAUAGAUAACCUUAAAACCUCACAUGGUUGUGUUGCCUUGUGAAUAGUAUCUUUAGUUUUCUUGUUUAGAAUUCUUCGAGACUUUAUCCAAUAACCUAUCUUGGUUAUUGAGGACCUUUGGGAUUUUCUUACCAUUUCACAACACUGAUCUGUCCAUGCUGAAGAAUUCUUCCCCGAGCCAUCUGUUAAGAUUUUCCUAUCUUUAGUUUCGUCAAGAAACUAAUCAGAAAAUUGAGUAACAAUUUGAUCACAGUUAAAUCGUAUCACUUUAUGAGAGAUUGAGAUGAUUCCAAUGCUGGUCAUCCAUUUAUGUCAUGAUGAAUAUUUUAUUCAUAAUCUUUUGAAAUUUAGAGGGUGCAUUUUUUUUAAUCUAAAGGGUAUUACGUCCAUUCAUAAUGUCCAAAAGGAGUGGUCAAUGCCAUUUUGUAACGGUCUUCCUCUUUUAUCUGGAUCCGCCAAAAUCCCAAUUUUAUAUCAAACUUAGAGUAUAUUUGAGAACCUUUGAUCCUUCUUUUUGGGUCUUGUUUGUUAGGAAUCAAAUAUCUUAUCCAUUGCAAUAAUUUGUUUAGAGGCUUAUAGUUGAUUACUAGCUUAGGGACUCCUCUUUUCUUGUCAGCCGCAUUUUCAACAUAGAAUUCAGCACAGCUCCAUAGGGAGGAGCUUUGCCUAAUUUGUUUCUUCUUGAGUAAAGUUUGGAUUUCUUCUUUGCAUAUUUCCAAAAGUCUUUUGUUCAUUUACAUAGGCCUGGCCUUGGCGGAACCCUUUCGUUCAUUAAACUCGGGGACAUAAGGUAGGCUUGAUGCUUUUUCCAAUACGAAAAGGUUAAGGGUAGCUCAGCACAAAUGCUUUCUUUAAACUGAUUUUCCGAAGCUUUUACCUUUUCUUGAAACUUAAGAUUAGAUAGGCCUUUAGCCAACCUAGCAAUCUAUAUCUUGUAUGGUACUUCAUUAACAAACCUUUUUUUAUACUCAAUCGCUUCUUUUAGCUAAUUGAGGAAAGAUUCUUCAAGUUUUGUACAAAAUUCGAAUAGUACCCAUUUAUCUUCAAUUUGAGUUGUGAUAACCGUUUCUAUGAUGGUAAAUGAUUUGGUUAGGGAUAAAAAGAGGAUUCUUAAUAUAACUUGUUGUCUUAGGUUUUUAACUAUUAAGACUGAAGUCUUUACUAGCUAUAAAUUAUUUAACUAUUAUUAAGAAUGAAGGUCUUUCCUUAGACAUUCUUGUCUAUAUUGGAAACGCCUGUAUUAGGACUUCAUGCUUACUAGUUAAAAACCUAAGAUAAGGAGUUAUCUUAUCUAAUUAGACCUUUUACUGUCACAGAAAAGGGCAUCACAACCCAAAUUGAAGGUAAAUAGAUAACGUUCGAAUUUUGUACUAAACCCAAGGAAGCCUUUCUCAAUCAGCUAAAAGAGGUGAUUGAGUAUAAAGAAAGGUUCUUUAAUAAAACUAUCAUAUGAUAUAUUGAAUGCUAGGAUGGAUAAAAUUCUGCCUAAUCCUACGUUCCAAAGAAAGGUGAAAUCUUUAGAAAAUUAGUUUAAAGAAAAUAUCUGUGCUGAGCUAACCUCAGCCUUUUGGUAUUGGAAAAAGCACCAACUCUACCUUAUAUCAUUGAGUUCAAUGAACAAAAAAUUUCCACUAAGGCUAGGUCUAUACAAAUGAACAAAAGGCUUUUGGAAAUAUGCAAAGAAGAAAUCCAAUCUUUGCUUGAGAAAAAAUUGACCAGGAAAUGCUCCUCUUUCUAGAGUUGUGCUUCACUUUAUGUUGAAAAUGCGACUGAAAAGAAAAGAAGAGCCCCUAGGCUAGUAAUUAACUAUAAGUCUCUAAACAAAGUAUUAUAAUGGAGAAGAUAUCCGAUUCCUAAUAAACAAGAUCUAACAAGGAGGAUCCGAGGAUCUCGAAUAUACGCUAAGUUUGAUAUAAAAUCUGAAUUCUGGCAAAUUCAGAUAAAGGAAGAAGACCAAGACAAAACGGCCUUCACCAUCCCUUUUGGAUAUAACGAAUGGAAUGUAAUGCUCUUUAGACUAAAAAUUGCACCCUCUAAGUUUCAAAAGAUCAUGAAUGAAAUUUUCCUUCCCUAUACUGAUUUUGUCAUAGUAUAUAUCGAUGACGUACUAAUCUUUUCAAGAAAUAUAAACCAACAUUGGAAACACCUUAACAUUUUCCAUAAAAUAAUAAUAAGAAUUGGAUUAGCUGUUUGUGCAAGAAAAAUAAAGCUAUUUCAAAUAGAAAUACAAUUUUUAGGGUUCAAAAUUAGGUAUGACCAAAUUGCUCUGAUGAAUAGAGUUAUAAAAUUUGCGGACAAAUUUCCUGAUUAAAUUAAAGAUAAAAAACAAUUACAGAGAUUUUUAGGAUGCCUUAAUAAUGUAUCAGACUUCUGUGAAUCUCAUGCAAAGGAUAAAAAAAUCUUAAAUGACGAAUUGAAGAAGAAUCCUCCAGCAUGGACUGAGCAUCACACAAAAGUAGUAAGACAAAUAAAGAAGGUAAAAUGCCUUCCCUACCUGAACAUAGUUCCCCAAGAUGUAUUCAAAAUUGUUGAAACAAGUGCAUCUGACCAUAGAUAUGGAGGUAUAUUGAAACAGAAAAUAAAUGAAAAGGAAUACUUGGUAAGGUUUACUUCUGGCACUUGGAAUAAUACUCAAAAGAAUUAUUCGACUAUUAAAAAGGAAAUACUUGCCAUUGUCAAAAUUAUUUCUAAAUUUCAGGGAGAUCUAUUAAACCAAUAAUUUUUCCUGCUCAUUGACUGUAAAGCAGCAAAAGAUGUUGAAAAUUUAGUUUCUAAAUAAAUCUUUGCUAGAUGGCAAGCAACACUUUCAAAUUUUGAUUUUACCAUUGAAUAUAUAAAAGGGGAAACAAAUUGUCUUCCUGAUUUUCUUUCUCAUGAAUUUUUACUGGGAAAUGGAAAACAAGAAGGUGCUCAUCAAUCCAUCAUUUCAAAAACCAAACCAUCAACCAUAGGGAAAACUAUCCCGAGAAGAAACUAAGAAGAAAACCUUCUUGGCUGAAACUCGGCAAAUAUCUCUAUUAUUUAACCUAGGAGUCUCUUUGGAAACCUAUUCCAUCAUAAGUGGAAUAUGGGAAACUCAUAUCCUAAAUAAGAAGAAAGAUUUUAGAAGGGCUAUGAUAGCCUUUGUCCAUCAUUUAGCAGAAAAGGAAGAAACACUAAGAACCAUCAAAGAGCAAAUUAAAUGGUUUGGCGAACAAUCAUUGAGGCAAAUCAAUCUCUAUGGUCUAUGUAACCUAACAGAGAUGCCCUCAACGGUCAAGUUCAAAAGGCUGGACUCUUGGGAAAAGGCCCAAGAAGUUCUAAACAAAGAACUUCAGGAUAUUAUUCAUGACCUGGCAACACAGCCUCAUGAAAUCAAAAAAACUGUUCAGGGAACUAAAAAUAUUCCUAAUGAAUGACCUAAGCUUCUCCAAAUUGGCCUUUCACUCCCUAAACACCUUCACCAAUGAUAAUGAAAUCAGAGCAAUGAAUAAGGAGCUUGUCAGGCUGAUUUCGGUGGAUUGCUUCGCCACUCUUAAAAUGUUCCCUGCUGUAGUAUCUGCUCUAUUAUAUGAAGUCAAGAGAGAAGACUUUUAAAAGGUAGAAAUUUAUAGCAGGAUGGAAGAAAGAGAAAUAGCAGAAGUUAUUCACCCAUUUCAAAUUUACCAUAUUGGACAUAUUGGACUCUUCGGCCAUGAUGAAGACAUGCCAAAUGGUAAUAAGGGAGGAAGAAGGCCUUCUAGAAGGAUUUGAUCUUAGAAAAUACAAGAUCUCCUGAUAUAUAGAAGUAUACAACAAAGCAAAAGAAUUUGAGCAUUAGAGGUGUUGGUCAGACAGAAGGAUUUGGGCAACCACUGAACUAGCAGCAAACAUGCAGGUUGAAGAAAGCUCAGGGGAGCCUUUGCUGAACAUCAAUAAUUCCCUAGAAGAAGUUCAAUAUGAGCUACUUGUCCAAGAGAGCAUCAAGGAAUGCCUUGCCCAAGCAGACAAUUACCUCGAAGAUCGCCUCUAUGCCCAGAACCAUCUUGACUGUAUUAACUAUUAGCAAUAUGUUAGACAACCUUCGAAGCUAGACAACUUGAGGAAAGAAAGCUACCAACAGGAAGAGACAACUCUGCAAAUUCCAACAAAGAAUAUCAGCACUGCAAGACCAAAACAGAAAAUGACUUCAGUAAAGGCAAGAUGAAGCCACCCGAAGUAACACUGAAGAUCAGAUGUGACGACAGCAAGAUUUUUUUGAAAUGUCUAUAGUAAAAAACUGAAGUGACAUUUACAGAGAUUUCCUCCAAACCAUGAUGCCCAUGAUAAAAAAACGGAAGUGACAUCUACAGUGAGAUUCCCUCCAGAUCAUGAUGUCCAUUGUAAAAGAUUGAAGUGACGUCCACAGUGAGAUCCCUCUAGACUUCAAAAUGGUUCAAGUCCCGAACUUCAACGAAGCUUAAGUCCACAGGAGCUCCUCGUCUAUAAAAGGCGAAGAAGGUAACCGGCCUAGGCAUCCGCUGCUUUCACCUUGACUCCAGAAUCUCUCUCUCCUUCAUCCACUCAUCCUUCUACUCAUACACUAUCCUUUCCACAACUCCUUGCCAACUCUCUCUCAUCCCCUCAUCAGCACUCCACCCAAUCUCUCCUACUCUCCAGUGUUCUCUCUCCCAAUCUCUUCCACUGUCCAUUCUCAUCCACACUCCAUCUCUCCACUCAACCUUUCAUCUCUCCACUCCACAACCUACUACUCUCUCUCCCUCCAUACUCUCCCACCUCUACUUUUCUGAACCGUCAUCUAUUAUUAGAGUGUUCUUCUCCUCUAUUAGUGUACAUUCAAGCGUAAGGAAGAUCUGCAAAAACUUUGUAGCCAUCGUUUCUACUUUAAUAUUAAGUAUUUGCAGUUUCUAUUUUAUGCUUAUCUCCAUAUUUACUAUUUUCCUCUUCUAUUAAGCCGGAAUACGGAGCUAGAGCAAGGUACUGUAGCAAAACAUUGUAACAAUACUGUAGCAAUGGAAUUGUAGCAGCACUUAGCAAGCAUAGUAGUGCUGUAACACGGCAAAUUGCCUCUAAUAGUAUUACGUUUGGAUUGAACUGUAACUCUCAGUUAAUUCAUCUAUCAGAUUGGAUUGUAACACACAGUUAAUCUAUCUAAGAUAAUUAUUUGUAGACUAGUUUUAUGUUUUUUUUGUUUUGACCGUUAUUAAUAUGUUUUCUCUGUUUGUCUGUAAUUAAUACAUUUGCUUAAGUUUGUAGUUAGUAACUAGUUUCCUGAUAGACAAGCGAUGAGGUAUAUACUAUGCCUGCAACUAAGAUAUACCAAUUCGCUCAAACCCAGGAAACUAGCUACUAACUACAAACUUAAGCAAAUGUAUUAAUUACAGGCAAACAGAGCAAACAUACUAAUAACAGUCAAAUAUAAAACAAGCAUAGAACUACUCUACAAAUUAUUAUCUUAAAUAGAAUAACUGUGUUACAGUCUAAUCCAAAUGUAAUACUAUUUGAGCAAAAUACUUCUCUUUUAAGUUUGAGCUAAAGGAUGGAAUUGAACAUUUUAUUUUCAAAAUCAUGUUUCCACGAAAUGGAAUAUGUCAAUUACUGCAGUUAACCUUUGGCUUGACAUUUGGCAGUAGGUGUAGUAAUUAGUAUUACUCAAACUCUUUCUUUAGUUAUAUCAAUUAUUUAUUGUCAGUUUUUUCCAUCUCAGUUCUAUCAAAGUGCAGAUGUUAACCACAUCAUCAUUCUUCAAACCAUCACUGAUGCCUCUAUCUUGGUAUAUGAGCGUGGCUUAUGACAGGUCCAGUGCCCCCAAGGAUUGUCGGGUCUCUGCAUGGUUUGAAUCACCUGAUGGUGACCCAUCCAGCCAUGCCAAGAUGUAUCUCUUGAGUGAGUUCUCUUAUGACCUUGACAAGAGCAAUGCACAGACCUUUAAUGUAGAGGCAGCCGACUUGGGUGUGGUCAACAUGGUGCGGCUGGACUUCACCUCCAACCAUGGGAAUUCAGCUUUAACGUGCAUUUAUCGCUUCAGGAUGCAUGGCUACGAGCCGAACUCCUCAGCAGCUAUGGCUUUGCAGGCCUGAUAGAGAGUUGCAGUGUUCUUAUAUGUUGUGCACUGAACCUCAGCUUCUAUACCCUCAUCAGUUCCUGGCUGUAUUGCUCAUCCUAACAUCCCCUUCCUCUCCUGCUUCUUCAAUGGGGACUGUAAAUCUUUUAAUUAUUUGUUGCUCCAAUCAUUUCUAUUACACUUAAUAGGAAGGUAUUGAAUGGUGCCAUUUAUGCCCAGCACCAACACCUAAACAAUCUUCAGUUCCUUGAUACCUUUUGCAAUCAUUUGAUCCCUGAGUCCAGGUAUUUCUGGACCUUUAAAGAAUGUGAUAAAUUAGCCGUUGAGAGUAUGGGAACUGAGAGGAGUGGGGGUGUCUUUAUUAACAUUCUCGAGCAGGAAUUUGCGGGGGCUCCAAGCUGGCACCACGGCUUACCUAAUUCCAAAUGGGACGUUGUUGGAAUACCGUGCAUUUUCGUGCCGGUGGUCUUGCAAAGCAACAUAUUUAAAAACCAGGCGAAUGAUUUCUCUUAUGUUCAAAGAAUUUGCAUCGUAAGCGUAUAACAUAUUAUUAACGGCAAAUAACAUUCUGCUAUGUCAGAAGUUUAAAAAGACGUACAGUGGACAAGCGUCACAAUCGAACAUCAGUUAUCUCUUUUCUUAGUAAAGCAGGAUUUGCCUAUGGUAUAAUGAGUGUGGACGCAUCUAGAAACAUGAGGUACGCUUUAUCCCUAACAUCCUGUGGGCAGUUGCUAGAGGAGUGAUACGCCAUGUGCCAAGCCACCUAGUCUGCCCUCUUUGAAUAUUUGAGAUGCUUUAAUGCAGGUCGUUCUCUGGGAGAUAUGCCAAACAUCAAAAGAGCUGUGGGCGAACAUCUUAGUAUGGUUGGGGCAGUUUGUUGAUCUAGUUGAUCACUGUUCGAGAAUCAUCCUCAAUCCAUAUCAAGGCCGUAUGUAACUGCAAUGUAGCAUACACUAACCUCUCCAAAACUGUAAUAAGUUCGGCCAUAGGGAGGGGUGCAAAUGUGUUGGGUUAGACUAGGUCAUGAGUGACCCGAUUCGCCUCGAUCUGGUUUAUUGUUCGCAUCCUAAUGUUGGACCCAUAUCCAACCUAAUAAAAGAUCAGAUUGGGACAGGUCAAGUCUACGGCUAAAAUUUUGAUCCAACGGAUCAUUUGGAUCGGGUCCGGUCCAUGUAUAAUCUAGUUCCAACCCAAAAAGUUCGGGUCCGGGUUAGGUUUGAGUCCGAUCCAGGACACAUAUGUAUAGUUCUAAAGUGAAAGUUUAAAUUUGGAUACAAGAAAAUCCUAGCUUUAUCAUGAGAUAUGAAUAUCUUUUGGAAGCAUAUUAUGACAUAUUUAGUAUGAAUAUCCCCUAUAGAUUAUAUGAAUUAUUAUGUUUAAAGAUAUUUAAUAGAAUAUCAAAUGAGUCACAAUAUCAAUCUACAAUUUAAAAGUUAAGCUUCUCAUUUGAUGAUAUAACUCAGCUAUCUAGUUUGCUGCAACAUCCCCUAUAUCAUGCGAAUAAAAUCAAAUUAAGAAGCUUGGAUUGGUGGGAUGAUGAUACCAUAUAUUUCAAACCAAUAACUUUUUGAUGGAUGCUACCAUUAUAUGGGGCUAAUCUUUAAUCGGGACUUCAAGAAAGUAGACUAUAGGCGAUAGACCGGCUUAACACCUCCCUCACCUUGGGUUGACGGGUAUAUCAAGUUCGGAUUGGUCGGGUAAUAGGUUAGAAGACCCAAAUUAGACCCAUAUAACAAUCGGGUUGGGUUGAGCCAAAACUCAAUAAACCUAGACCCAACCCAAAAUGUGGAGUAGGUCCAUAUUUGGAACCUGGCCUAGCCUCAUGCCUCAUGGGUCCUUAAAUCGGAUCUAGAUCAGGUUUAAGUGAGUUCUGUUGGGUCGGAUCAUAGGUCAACCUAACCCAUUUGCGGCCUUAACCAUAGGGCCAUUGACAUUCAUCAGCCUCUUAUCUCUUAUAAUCAAAACUUUACAAGCACAAUCUCUAACAACAAAAACUACUUCUGCAUCAAUGCCAUUCCCUAACACACUGCUAUCAAAAAUUUUCAAAGUGCCUUGGAUUGGGGGUCCCUAGGUGAUGUUAAUCACGACCGAUGGGAUGCAAGAAAGAGAACCCUAGAUUUUCAUAGUCCUUGAAGAUGGGCGAGAGAGAAGGUCGUUGAAGAUUCUCUCUCAUUCCUAGCCCACCAGAUUUGGUAUGCUAUAGAACAUCAUAGCCUAAUAAGAUCUAUAAAAUUGGGAUGAGAAUAAAGAGCUCGAAUACCUUCCACAAAUUUUUGAGUAGAGGUGACCUAAACUAGGAUCAGGAGAGUAGAUAAGGCAAGAUUCCAAAACUCCAAGGCAAUCAGGCAAUGGAAUAAAACAUGUUGAUAUCCUCUACCACACCCUAUCAAAGAUUACAAUGGAAUAUAACUGGAACUGCCCUUCUAGCUAAAAUAGCACAACAAAGAAUUAUAUCCCAUGCAAUCUUCAUAAAGAGAGUGAGACUUUGGGGUGUACCUUUAAUUUCCGAAUCCAUAUAGAUUGGCAGUUUUGACUUUAAGAUUGCUAGCAUAGCUCCAACCCAACUUAUCAUCAGAGAUCUCUCUUGGAAUUAGCUUGGCUAUAAUCAAAUAGACAUUCCUUGUGGAACAAUUGGCAAAUGAAGUUGGCUUUCCACAGCUUUUGUUCAUCAAUCAAAUUAACUAUUGACAAGUUAUCCAAUUGAUUAACGUCGCAGAGGCAAAUCCAUCUAUUGAUUGGCAAAGGGCUUAUUCAUCGAUCGUUCAUGAUGCUAAUCUUGAAGCCAUCACCAAUUAUCCACCGGAAGUUCGACAUAAUAAUGGGACCAUGCUUAUAGAGUUCCAUCCACACUAUAGAGCACCUUAUAAGCACAAUCGUGGGGAGUUGAGUGACCAAGCACCAUAUUUUAAUUUCACUACUGAUGUGCCUUAGAGCCGACUACAGCUCAUACAAAUGGUUGGCCAACCAAAACUCUCUCCAAAGCCUCUGGACUAGAUCAGCUACGUGGUAAGCCUAGGAAGCACGCAAAUGAUGUUUCGAAUUUCAAAAUCUCCUUGCUAUUGGCAACAUCUUGGCCAUGAUCCUAGAUGGUUUCCAAAACCACACCUACGAAACAUACAGGUUGUGAUGCGUGUGGGAAACGUUCAUGCAUAAUUCUUGGAACAUGUGGUGGCCCGUCAAUCAUAGCCGACCCACAUGCUCGAGUCUUUCUACGAGGGGGGUUGGCUGUUGCCUAUACAACCCAUUCUCAAGGGGGUCUUUCAAGUAAGUGCUCUUGUGCUCUAGCGAACCAUUGCACUGUUACAUCUAAAAAUUUCUCCUAUUUCCUGAGCAUCAAUCUAGCUAAGGUAUUGGAGGAUCCCCCGACAGACACUCUCCGACAAGAGAACUUCUUUAUCUUUGCUAUUUUAGAUCGGAGCUCAACUACGGACUCUUGGAUGCAACCUGGGCUGCUCCAAAAGAACUACAACAUCGCAUGACUUGAGAAGCUCGCCGUCGAGCCCUCCAGCAUCCUCUUCCACUUAGUUCUUUGAUCAGACCGAUCCUCAGCGGUAAUAGAUUGACACUAUAGAAAGGGUCGUGAUCUCAUUAUAAGAGGUUUCUUCUCAAAGAAGCAGACAACUCGUCACUAUGAAGUCUCGAAGGACACAACCUGCACCUUCUAAUGCUCAACCAAGCAUGCCGAAGUAGUCUGACGACUCUUUGCAAAGCUCUCAAAAAGAUCUAUCCCCACCAGAACCAUAAGUAGUAUCAGCGGUAAUAUCUAAGCAAUUUCAACUACUUAUGUAGCAAGUUCGGAAACUGACCACAACCAUCAAGAAUCUGUAGGAGUCAGCUGCUGAUCAGAAGCAGUAACAGGCUCGGAAGCUGAGCCAUUUAGAAGUCUUGGUGUAGCUGGGUCAUCACUCCCCUCCUCAGAGCUUGGGAUGGGCUCAGUAGAGUCGUCAUACCCAUCCUCGAAGCCCUAGCAAGGUCCCGCAUAGUCGUCACUCUCGACCGCAGAGUAUUGCACAAUAUCCUCCAUAUCAAUCCUUCGAUUCCCUAUCCUAGGAAAAAUCAACGUCUAGUCACUCUUCUCCCCACCGGUCUGAGAGAGCCUCCAAGAGGGAGGCAUACCUUGAUCGCAUGAUGGAUCAUCACCUUGAGGCCCUAAGGUAGUGCCAGGCCAAGCAAGGAAGGGAUGUGGAGUUCACCACCGAAUAUCCAUUCUCGGCAAGAAUAAGAGAUAAACUUAUCCUUAUUUUAAGAUGCCGCAGUUGAAGACUUAUGAUGGUACUACAUAUCCACUAAACCACUUGGAGAGCUUCAAAGGUCACAUGAUGCACCAAGAAGACAUUGACAUUGUACUAUGUAGAGCCUUCCCUGUCAUGCUUUGAAAGGCAACAUGGUUGUGGUACAUCGAGCUACAAUGGAGCUUUGUUCAUUUGUUCAAACAGUUUGGUAGGAUGUUUGCUGCCCACUUCAUGAGCAACAGGAGGCAAAGAAAGGGUUAUGACACCUCUUUGCCAUCAAGUAGAGGGAGAGGGAGUCAAUAUGGGACUACGUUUGCCACUUAAAGGAGGCCACAUUUGAAGUCUGCAAUCUGAAUCACUUGGUCGCUAUAUCCACCAUGAGGAGUGGAUUGAAGACACCUCGGUUCCUUUUCUUCCUAGAGAAGAGGUACUCGAGCAACUAUGCCAAGCUCUUGACUAGAGCAGACAAGUACAUUGGCACCAAGGAGGCUAUGAUAGCUUGACUCAGCCCCCAUCCUAGCUCCUGCUAAAUACUAUUAGAUUUGAUUACUCAGAUCUAUAUUGAACCAUCUGUAUCCUAGUUCGAGUAUGAUUUGAUAAAUUUCACUUUGAUCAGACUGGCCGGGGGUAUUGGGCACUCCUGCUUAGUAAGCCCUGUGAGGGUAUUGUAAUUUAAGUUUUCUAUUUUUUAAAAUAAUUAUGAUGAAAAUUUAAUGAAAAAAUAUUUUUUGGAUAUUAAGCUCUAAGAAAGAUUUUUGGGAUUAAUUAGAUCUGUUAGAUGGAUUGAAUUCGCAAGGUAAGUAAUGCUUCACUUUUUCUAAAUUUACUAGUAAUCAUUAAAUUAUUAUAUUCAUGACUUAUGAGUGGUAUUAUUUAUAAUGCACGAAUUUGAUGGACAGUAUAUUGUUAUAAAAUAUGUUAUUUUGGAAUAUUAUGUCAAUAUAUGAUCUUAUUAUUAAUAUAAUUUAUUGAUUUUGACACCGCAUAAUUUUAGAACUGAAAUAUGAAAUCUAAAACUAUUUGAAUUUCAAUCUGGCUAUGUUGAGGACUCUACCAAUGGAGGCUAAUACGCUGGGACAUAAUUUGUCCUGAAGGUUGUGUCCAAGAUGAUGAGCGAUAUACUGUAAGCAAAUACAUGGUCUUGAAGGACUUUACUGCAAGAUAAUGCACGAACCACAAGACGAUUAGCUGUUGUUAUGACCCUACUAUAGAAAAGAUUUGAUCAUAGCUCAAGAUUGGUAAGAUGAAUUGAAUAUUUGAAAGAAUUUGAAUCUAUAAACAACAAUUUAAUAUUCUAAGAAAGAUUUGAUUCGUAUAUUAGUACUGCAUAUAUAUUUAUUUUCUAUAAAUUAUUAUCUAUUUGAUUGCUUAAAUUGUUUAGCUAAGUGAUCACUACUUAUUAGGUUGUCUAGCUCAUUAUAUGAUUUUUUUUUUUAUAGAUUCAGAGAACUAGCCUGAUCGGAGUUUUAAUAUGGAAGAGCGACUAUAAGAACUUUGGCAUAGAUUAUCUUAGAUUUGUUUUAUUUAAAUUGAUGUACUACCUUAAAAUAUUGUUAGAAUCAUGAGACAAUUAAAUAUUGAGCUAGUUAUUGAAAUAAAGUUUGCAUUAUUAUUUAAAUUAUUCCGCUGCAUAUUUAUGAUAUCAUAUUGAAAUGCCUUGCAUGCUUGUAGGAAGAGUUUUCUAUAAGUAUGAGAUAGUUGACACGACCCUCGGUUCAUAAACUCAGGUCAGAGGUGCGAUAGUGUUAGAUAAGUUUCUUUGGAAAGUAGAAAAGGCUUAAGGCAAGAUGUUCCUACAAGAUGGAAUUCAACUUUUUUGAUGUUAGAGAGUGCUCUUUUUUACCACCAUAUCUUUCUUCAUUAGAAAUUAAGUAACUCUAAUUACAAGCAUUGUCCAUCCAAAGAAAAUUGCGGCAAAGUUGAGAAGAUUAGAAAGUUAUUGAGUAUAUUCUAUGAUGCUAGUUUGGUAUUUUUAGGUGUUAAAUAUCCUACAUCAAACUUGCAUUUUUCUUAUUUUUUUUGAUUAAGUUUACUUUGAGGCAAGACAUACAAAGUAUAGAUGCUUUCAUGCAAAGAAUGGUACAACAGAUAUAUGAAAAAUUUGAAAAAUAUUAGUUAGAUCAUAACUUAAUCUUGGCCAUGGCAGUCAUUUUGGAUCCUCAAACAAAUUUUAGUUUGUGGAGUAUUGUUAUAAGAAGUUGCAUGGAUAUAGUUGUAUAGAGAACAUGUGCAUCCUCGAUUUUAUGUUUUCUCUAUUUAAUCAUUAUACUUGCUUCUUCUAAAACCCCUAUUACUAGCAUACCAACUCAUGGAGACAUAGAGAGUGUGUUACAUCUUAUGAGGAUCCCGAACCAUUUAGAACAGCGAAUAUUUUUAAGUUAUAUGAUAUUGUUUUUUAUCAAUAACUCAUUUUAUGUUUCCAAUAAUGUAGGAUUUUAAUUCAUUUGGAAGCUUUGAUUUUGUGAAUGUUGCACAAAAGUCCCAAUUGGAAUUAUAUUUAGAUAAAAAGUCCAAUUUGGAUAUUCUUGAAUUUUGGAAAGCAAAUCAGUUUCGAUAUCAUGAACUUUCUCUUAUGGGAUGUGAUAUUUAACUAUUCCAAUAUCUAUAGUCGUUUCUGAAUCUGCUUUUAGUGUUGCUGGGUAAGUACUUGUUAAGCAUCGUAGUGCAUUUAAAGCAAAUAUUAUCGAGGCCUCGAUCUGCACUCGAGAUUGGAUACUUGGAGAGAAAGGUAUAUGUCUAUUAAUUACAUUGCUAUAAUUUUUUGAAAGAAUUUAUUCUUAUUUAUUACAAUAUUUUAAUAUAAAUGUUUUAGAAUCUAAGUUAGAUGAGAUUGUAGAAGAUGUUAUGAACUCAAGUUUCUACAAUGAAGCAAAAUCAACUCAAAGCUCGACCACUAUUGAUGCCAAUGCAGAGACCUUAGGGAGAUGAAUCAUGGUUUACCAAUUAAUACUUGCUCAUAUUUUCUAGUUUCAUGUUUUUCAAUUAUUUGUCUUUACUAACGGUUGAAUUUUGUUAUUUUGGCUUAUAGGUUCUCCUAAAUUUGGGAAGUUGAAGUAGGAAAUAAUGCAAAGGGAAAGUUGAUCAUGGUCAUGGAUACUUUUUAUGGACUUAUGUUGCUCAUGUAUUUUUGUUGGAUUGAAAUAUGCUAUGUUGCAUUUUAUUUGGGACUCUUUUGUUUUGGUUUGACUAUGGUUGUUAGUUAUUAAUUACUCAGUGGUUGAUAUUUAUAGUUUCUUUUGAUAUUUAUAUAAGAUAUUUCUUUUACUAGGUUUUUUUUCUUGGACAGGUUAGUGUUGUAGUCAUGAAUAGGAUUUAUGUUCUUGUUUCACGAGGGAUUUAAUUUCAAGUAUGUCCUGAUUAUAAGUUCAGGUUAUCUAUUUGUGUCAUAUUCAUUCUAUAAUUCAAAGCUUCCUACCGCCACUAACCAUGUAUUCUUUGCUCGACAAUGCAUUUCAUGUGUUGGGCAUUUCACACCUUGCAACCAAUAGCUCUCGAUCAAACCUAACAUUUACACCUCCAUAUAAUUUCGUUUCUAUUUAAUAAGUAUAUUAAUAAAUAAAAUAAAAAUUUGAGGAAAGAACCAUUGUAUUCAUUAUUAAGCUAGUAUCAAUGAUGAGUAACAAAUAGAUUAUCCCUCAAUACAUGGGUUAAUGUUCUUUUGAUGUAAGGAUUUGAAAAACUUGAUCUUAGUACUAAAGGCAAGUAACGAUAAAUCAUAAUAUAGAAAAGAGAAAGAAAAAUAGUUGACAAAUGGUCAACUAUUUUAAGGGAUGAAAUUAUUGAUCAAUAACACGAAAGAGGAUGGUGGGGGAGGGAGGGGGGGGGAGAGAGAUGGAAAUGAAAAAAAAAAAAAAUUCUUGAUUUGUUACAUAGGAGAAAAUUGAAAUAUCUGAAGAUUUUAAGGGACCAAAUUUCAAUAUAAAAAUUUUAGGAGGAUUGAAGACGUAGCAAUUUCUUUUUUCUAGAUAGGGAUGGCAAUUGAUUGGGUAGGUUAUUACCUAUAUAUGUCCCUCCUUGUCUUGGGGCAGAGUGGGGCGAUUGAGUUAGAUGGAGCGGGUUGGACGGAUUGGGUCGGAUAAAGUUACAAAAAUAUUUUUUUGAAAUACAAAUCAAACA
rnacentral:lncRNA from 1 species